UACGUCUAUAAAAUGCAAAAAUAACUACUGUUUUUAACGAGGUAAAAAUGUAUAGAACUUAUCUGAAUGAGUUUUUAGUAAUCUAUUUUUUUAAAAUUUUAAUUUUACUAUCUAACUUUUCAAUUUAUUUGAUUUGAAUCAGUUAAUGACGAAACAAAUUGAAAGAUUAGAUAGUAAAAUUAAAAUUUUAAAUGAUGGGUUAUAACUAAAUCAAAAUGAUCCAUAGUUCAAUAAGUUCUAUACGUUUUCACCUUUUAAAAAAUUUAAGCUAUCUGAAAAAAUACAAAAUAAUUAUUAUAUUUUCAAAAGUGAACGAUAUUUUUAUAUUCUAUCUCAUAGAAACUCAAGUAUCAAGUAUGAGGUUGUACAAAUGUUUCAUCAAAUUUCUGCAGUAGACCCUCUAGGUGGCCCUUCCUCUGUCUCUUUCUAUUACUCUAUCUAGUCUUUUCCACUCGCCGCAUUAUUCUUUGCGGCCUUUCGGCCGGAAUUCGGCUAACACUGUCAGACUUCUGUCACCCUUUUCGGCCCGUCGGAGUUUCCACUUGGGCGUCGCGAGUAUCUUUAUAGUGGUACCUGACAGACAAGAUAAAAUUUUAUUAGAAAACUCUCUAAUAAUGUCUCGUUAAAGAGCUUCAGAUUUAUUGUCACGUAUUAGUUUUGUCUUUAUUUACUAAUUUGCUAUAUAUUUUUAAUACUUUUAAAAAAUUAAAUUCUAAAAAAAAGAAUUAUAACCCUUAAAUAGAGUUAAAUAGAGUUGAAAGUGACGACAGAUUGAGAGGUGUCGCGUUGGAGAGCUCCUUACUUAAGUUUUUUUCAACGAAUGUGCUGGUAU
rnacentral:lncRNA from 1 species